rnacentral:rRNA from 1 species
GACGAACGCUGGCGGCGUGCUUAACACAUGCAAGUCGAGCGGUAAGGCCCUUUCGGGGGUACACGAGCGGCGAACGGGUGAGUAACACGUGGGUGACCUGCCCUCAGCUCUGGGAUAAGCCUGGGAAACUGGGUCUAAUACUGGAUAUGACUCCACGGUGCAUGUCGUGGGGUGGAAAGCCUUGUGCGGCUGAGGAUGGGCCCGCGGCCUAUCAGCUUGUUGGUGGGGUGANGGCCUACCAAGGCGACGACGGGUAGCCGGCCUGAGAGGGCGACCGGCCACACUGGGACUGAGACACGGCCCAGACUCCUACGGGAGGCAGCAGUGGGGAAUCUUGCGCAAAUGGGCGAAAAGCCUGACGCAGCGACGCCGCGUGAGGGAUGACGGCCUGUGU